rnacentral:snRNA from 1 species
GUGCUCACCUCGGCAGCACAUAGACUAAGAAAAAAAAAGGACCGACACAGAGAAGAUUAGCAUGGCCCCUGUACAAGGAUGGCAUGCAAAUUCGUGAAGCGUUCCAUAUUAAU